UACUAGAGUAGCACUCGCAUAUCAAUAAGCGGAGGAAAAGAAACUAACAAGGAUUCCCCUAGUAACGGCGAGUGAAGCGGGAAGAACUCAAAUUUGAAAUCUUAAAGGGUUUCCCUUUACGAAUUGUAGUUUAAAGAAGUGUUUUCUGUUGAGGUUUUGGUAAAAGUUCUUUGGAAUAGGACAUCAUAGAGGGUGAGAAUCCCGUAUUUGACCUUUACUUUCAACUUUGUGAUACACUUUCAAAGAGUCGGAUUGUUUGGGAAUGCAGUCCAAAAUGGGUGGUAAAUUUCAUCUAAAGCUAAAUAUUGGCGAGAGACCGAUAGCGAACAAGUACCGUGAGGGAAAGAUGAAAAGAACUUUGAAAAGAGAGUUAAACAGUACGUGAAAUUGUCAAAAGGGAAGCGUUUGACACCAGUGUUGUUUUUCUGAAAAUCAAUUAAAGAACUGUUUAUGCUAAGCUGUUUAGACUUUAUCAGCUAUACUGUUUAGUUUUGAGCUUUUCUUUAAUGCACUUUUCAGUUAACAAGUCAACAUCAAUUUCUUUUGCUGUAAAAAAGCUUGAGGAAGGUGGCUUGAGAUUCGUCUUAAGUGUUUAUAGCCUCUUGCCUAUGCAGUCGGAGAGAUUGAGGUCUGCAGCGUAGAUCCUUCGGGGCUAAAUGCAUUUGUGCUAAGUUAUAGCAUUUUAUAGACAACUUGUUGACUAUGAUUUGUCUUGUAGCUUACUCGCUUAUGUUAUUUUACCUACGCUUAGGAUGUUGAUCUCUCACAGUCGAGC
rnacentral:rRNA from 1 species